UUCUCUCUUAAUGAUUGGUCAUACAUCUUCAUAUAAAACAUACUUCUCUCUUAAUGAUUGGUCAUACAUCUUUUUACCUUGCAGGGAUCUCUUCUACAAGCCAGUUGUAUUGGGUAAGAAGGCAUUACAAUUUUUUAGUUAUUCCUCCAUCAAGUUCUAGACCGUUUUCUCUUGCUUGCAGCAUGUGGCCACAUUUCACGCUUUGGGUAUAGCUUCAAAUCUAUGGAUACUUGGAAGGGAUCACAUUGUCCAGUUUGUCGGCAUCCUUAUAAUCAUUUGCCUAUCAUCUGUCAGUUGCUGUACUUCUUGCUUCUGAAGUUAUAUCCAUAUUAGCCUAUAAAAGAAGGAGAAGACAAGUCAGAGCCAACGCCACACCAGUUGCAACUAUCUCACGCCGGCCAGUUUGGCUUCUCAUUCUCAUCUCUCUCUGUACAGCCGACGGCGCUGCACCAGUUGCAGCUACUUCAUGCCGGUUCGGCUUGCCACACUCUUCUCGGCGUGAAGCGAUACACCUAGGGCUAAGAAGGAAUUCAUUUGUAGAAGCAUAGUGAGGAGGAUCGAUUGAAUUUGGAAGAUCUGCUUUUUUGCUGCUUCUAAUCUCUCUCGUGUCAAUCGGAGCUUACUCUCUCUCUCUCUUGAUCGGUGAUUGAAAUCGACAACUAUCCACAGAUUCUUCAAUGAACUUUGGAAAGAGAUGGCAUGGAAGUUUUAAGUUCACUAAAUUUAUGGAAAAAAAAAGCUCCCCAGCAUUCUCUCCCGCACUCUUUCAACAUACUAAACACAAGCAUUGUAUCUCCACCGUUAGAUGGCUAUGUGCAUAAUAAUUGUUCUGGUUGUAUAUUUUAUAUGUAUAUUGGUGAUAUCUUGUCCAAGUAAUGAUGCACUCCAUAAAUCUUGCUUCUCUGUGCAUAGAAGCCCAUUGUUCCUAUUGAUUUGUACAGAGCAGUGCGAGAUUCACAACUUGUAAGACUGUCAGAUUACACAAGAGAGGUGCUUAUUCUUGAUCCAGAUUAAUCUCAUUUUCAGCAUUUAUGUUUCUUGUCUGUAUAUAUUGGUACGUCUGAUGUAGUUAAAUUUGUUUAUAAAAAUGAAACCGAUGGAACUGUGUUGUUCUCUCAUGUAUUCUUACUAACAUGUAGUGACUAUCUUGUCAUUGUUA